rnacentral:rRNA from 1 species
UACGAAGGGGGCUAGCGUUGUUCGGAAUUACUGGGCGUAAAGCGCACGUAGGCGGACAUUUAAGUCAGGGGUGAAAUCCCAGAGCUCAACUCUGGAACUGCCUUUGAUACUGGGUGUCUUGAGUAUGGAAGAGGUGAGUGGAAUUCCGAGUGUAGAGGUGAAAUUCGUAGAUAUUCGGAGGAACACCAGUGGCGAAAGGCGGCUCACUGGUCCAUUACUGACGCUGAGGUGCGAAAGCGUGGGGAGCAAACAGG